UACAUGCAAGUCGAGCGAACGGACGAGAAGCUUGCUUCUCUGAUGUUAGCGGCGGACGGGUGAGUAACACGUGGAUAACCUACCUAUAAGACUGGGAUAACUUCGGGAAACCGGAGCUAAUACCGGAUAAUAUUUUGAACCGCAUGGUUCAAAAGUGAAAGACGGUCUUGCUGUCACUUAUAGAUGGAUCCGCGCUGCAUUAGCUAGUUGGUAAGGUAACGGCUUACCAAGGCAACGAUGCAUAGCCGACCUGAGAGGGUGAUCGGCCACACUGGAACUGAGACACGGUCCAGACUCCUACGGGAGGCAGCAGUAGGGAAUCUUCCGCAAUGGGCGAAAGCCUGACGGAGCAACGCCGCGUGAGUGAUGAAGGUCUUCGGAUCGUAAAACUCUGUUAUUAGGGAAGAACAUAUGUGUAAGUAACUGUGCACAUCUUGACGGUACCUAAUCAGAAAGCCACGGCUAACUACGUGCCAGCAGCCGCGGUAAUACGUAGGUGGCAAGCGUUAUCCGGAAUUAUUGGGCGUAAAGCGCGCGUAGGCGGUUUUUUAAGUCUGAUGUGAAAGCCCACGGCUCAACCGUGGAGGGUCAUUGGAAACUGGAAAACUUGAGUGCAGAAGAGGAAAGUGGAAUUCCAUGUGUAGCGGUGAAAUGCGCAGAGAUAUGGAGGAACACCAGUGGCGAAGGCGACUUUCUGGUCUGUAACUGACGCUGAUGUGCGAAAGCGUGGGGAUCAAACAGGAUU
rnacentral:rRNA from 1 species